ensembl:lncRNA
GGCAAUCUCACAAACUCCAAAAAAGAAGAGUCUGGAAGCUUCCUACAUGCAAAGUAUAGUGUAGUCAUGAAUGAACAUCAGCCCCAACAGUGCUUAGCUCCAGAAAGCAACCCUUGCCUUCUUCACAACUAGGUCUUUUGUAUACCUAAGGCAAAUGAGCCACUACACUGCCAAAUUCCCUGUGUGCACUGUUCGUUACAGGAAAUUUCUGUAUAUUGAAAUCCACUUGACUGUGUUCUCUUUUGUGCAGAAACAUGAAUUGCUACGAAAAUGCCUUCAUUUCACAAGUGGGGAAAAGCAGCACAUAGCGAGCUUGGGUGAUAACUGCCUGAGGGCAAUCUCCCAAACUGCAAAAACAAGAGGCUGGAAGCUUCCCAGUAGUAUAUUGUAUUCAGUGAACAAACACCAGUCACAAUGGGGGUUUGCUCUGGAAACAACACUUUUCUUUUUCCCACCUGAGCCUACCUUAUAACUAUGGCAAAGGAGCUGCUCCACUGCCAAAGGCUCUUUAUGUACUGGUUAUUUACAGGAGGUUUCAGUAGCUUGAAACCCAUCUUAUAUGUGUUCUCCUUUGUGGAGAAGCCUGAUAUGUUAUGAAAAUACCUUCUUUUCACAAGUGGGAAAAAGCCACAUAUAGCAGGCUAGGGUGAUAACUGCCUGAAUUCAAUCACAGAAACUCCACAAAACAAGAGGCUGGAAGCUUCCUACUCACAAAGCGUGUUAUACUCAGUGAAGGAACACCAGCUCCAAUGGUGGAUUGCUCCAGAAAGCAACCCUUGCCUUUUUGCCACCAAAUGAGUGGAGUGGCAAAUGAGCCACUCCACUGCCAAAUCCUCUGUGUGCACUGGUUGUUUACAGGAUGUUUCAGUAGCUUGAAACACACUCAAAAAGUUUUCUCAUUCUUGGAGAAGCCUGAAUUGCUCUGAAAAUGCUCUCUUUCCACAAGCAGUGAAAAGCAGCACAUAUUGAGUUAGGGUGAAUAUCUCCUGAUGGCAAUCUCAGAAACUCUGCAAAACAAGAGGUUGGAAGCUUCCUAAUUCCAAAGUAUUUGGUACUCAGUGACCAAACACCAGAACCAAUGGUGGUUAGCUGCCGAAAGCAACCCUUCCCUAUUUCCCGUAUAGGCCUUUGCUAUAUUUAGUGCGAAUGAGCCACUCCAUUGCCAAAUGCUCUGUGUGUACCGGUUGUUUACAGGAGGUUUCAGUAGCUUGAAACUCACGUGAAAUGUGUUCUCUUUGUGGAGAAGCCUGAUUGGUUAUGAAAAUGCCUUUUUUUCACAAGCAGUGAAAAACAGAACAUAGCGAGCAGAUAUCAAUCACACAAACUCCACAAAAGAAGUGUCUGGAAGCUUCCUACUUGCAGUGUAUACUGUACUCAGUGAACAAACACCAGCCCCUAGGUUUGUUUGCUCCAGAAAGCAACACUUGAGUUUUUCCACAAAUGCCUGUGUUACACAUAGAGUGAAUGAUCCAUUCCGCUGCCAAAUGUUCUGUGUGUAUUAGUUGUUCACAGGUUUCAGUAGCUUGCAACUCACUCAAAAAGUGUUCUUUCUCCUUUGUGGAGAAACCUGAUUUGCUACGAAAAUGUCUUUUCACAAGCGGGAAAAGCAGCACUCAUCAAGCUUGGGCAAUAAUUCCCUGAUGUCAAUCUCACAAACUUCAAAAAACAAGAGGCUGGAAGAUGCCUACUACACAAAGUAUGUUGUAUUCAGUGAACAAACACCAGCCCCAAUGGUGAUUUGCUCCGGAAAGCAACCUUUGCCUUCUUUCCAACCUAGGGCUAUGAUAUACCUAGGGCAAAGGUCCCACUGCCCUGCCAAAUGCUCUGGGUGCACUGAUUGAUUACAGGAGGAUUCCCUAGCUUGAAUCCCACUCAAAAGCUGUUCUCCUUUUUAGAGACACUCGAUUUGCUGUGAAAAAGCCUUCUUUUCAGAAGUGGAGAAAAACAGCACGUAGGGAGGUAGGGUGAUAACAACCUCAUAACAAUCUCACAAAGGCCAGAAAACAAGGUGCUGGAAGCUUCCUACUUGCCAAGUAUAUUGUACUUGGUGAACAAACAUCAGCCCCAAUGGUGGUUUGCUUUGGAUAGCAACCCUUGCCUUUUUCCCGCCUUGGCCUGUGUUAUACCAAGGUCAAAUGAGACCCAGCACAGGCAAACUCUCUGUGUGCACUGCUUGUUUGUUAAGCGUCUUCAGAGGCUUAAAACCAACUCAAAUGUAUUCUCCUUUGUGGAGAAGUCUGAUUUGGCAUGAAAACGCCUUCUUUUCAGAAGGGCGGAGAAUCAGAACAUAGCAAGCUUGGGCAAUAAUCACCUGAUGGCAAUCUCACCAACUCCACACUACAAGAUGCUGGAAGCUUCCUACUUGAAAAGUAUAUUGUACUCAGUGAACGAACACCAGCCCCAAUGGUGGUUUGCUUCGGAAUGCAACCCUUGCCUUUUUCCCACCUAGGCCUCUGUUAUACCAUUGUGUUGUAUGCAAUCCCUAUCAAGUUACAGGACAUUUUUCACAGAACUACAACAGAGUCCAAAAAUUUAUAUGGAAGCAUCAAAAACCCAGAAUUGCCAAAGCAAUCCUGAGGAACAAGAACCAAGCUGGAUGUAUAACUCUUCUAGACUUCAGACAAUAAUACAAAGCUACCGAAAUGAAUAAUGUGUGAAACUGGUACCAAAACUGACCUACAUAUCAAUGGAACAAAACAGAGAUCCCAGAAAGAAACCCAGACAACUACAGUCCAUUAAUCUUCAACAAAGGAGGCAAGAAUAUAUAAUGUGCAAAACACAGUCUCUUCAGCAAGUGCUGCUUGGCAAACUAGACAGCUGCAUGUAAAUCAAUGAAACUAGAACACACCCUCACACCAUGAACAAAAAUAAACUCAAAAAUAGCUCAAAGACUUCAACAUAAGUCAAGACACAAUAAAACUCCUAGAAGAGAACCUAGGCAAGACAUUCUCUGACAUCAACCAUAUAAAUAUCUUCUCCCAAAUCAAUAGAAAUAAAAACAAAAAUAGGAAUUCCCAUCAUGGCUCACUGGAAACAAAUGUGAGUAGUACCCACGAGGAUGCAGGUUCAAUCCCUGGCCUCACUCAGUUAAGGAUCUGGUGUUGCAGUAAGCUAUGGUGUAGGUUGAAGAUGCGGCACGGAUCACACUUUGCUGCAGCUGUGGUGUAGGCUGGCAACUACAGCUCCAAUUCACCUCCUAGCUGGGAAACUCCAUAUGCUGCAGGUGCAACCCUAAAAAGACCAAAAAACAUAAAUAAAAAAAAUUUUAAAAAGAAAUAAAAACAAAAAUAUACCAAUGGGACCUAAUCAAACUUACAAGCUUUUUGCACAGCAAAGGAAAUCAUUUUUAAAAAAUGAACAGAAUGAUAGAAAAUAAUUUCAAAUGAUACAACUGACAAGGGAUUAAUCUCUAAAAUAUACAAACAACUUAUACAACUCAAGAGCAGAAAAAGAAGCAAUCCAAUUGAAAAAUGGGCAGAAAAAAAUCAUGGACUUGGAGAAUAGACUUGUGGCUGCCCGGGGGGAGAGGGAGGGAGUAGGAGGGAUCGGGAGCUUGGGGUUAUCAGAUGCAAACUAUUGCUCUUGGAAUGGAUAUACAAUGAGAUCCUGCUGUGUAGCACUGAGAACUAUGUCUAGAUAUUUACAUCGCAACAGAAAAAUGGGAGGAAAGAGAAUGCAUACAUGUAUGUAUAACUUGGUCCCCAUGCUGUACAACAGAAAAAAAAAAAAAAAAAAAAAAAAAAGAACGAGGAAACCAAAAAACAACAACAACAAAAAAAUGGGCAGAAGACCUGAAUAGACAUUUCACCAAAGAUGAUAUACAGAGACUCUCAUACUAAGUGAAGUAAGCCAGAAAGAGAAAGACAAAUACGAUAUGGUAUCAGUUAUAUCUGGAAUCUAAUAUACAGCACAAAUGAACCUUUCUUCAGAAAAUAAAAAAACUCAUGGUUUGGAGAACAGACUCAUGAUUGCCAAGGAUGAGGGGGAGGGAGUGGGAUGGACGGGGAGUUUGGGGUUAAUAGAUGCAAACCUGCCUUUGGAGUGGAUAAGCAAUGAGAUUCUGCUGUAUAGCACAGGGAACUAUAUCUAGUCACUUGAGAUGGAACUUGAUGGAGGAUAAUGUGAGAAAAAGAAUGUGUAUGUAUAUGUAUAUGUAUGACUGGGUCGCUUUGCUGUGCAGCAGAAGUUGACAGAACAAUGUAAAUGAAGUAGAACAGAAAAAAUAAAAACCUAAAAAAGAAAGUGAGGUCGCAGACGCGGCUCUGGCGUAGGCCGGUGGCUACAGCUCCAAUUCGACCCCUAGCCUGGGAACCUCCAUAUGCUGCAGGAGCGGCCCAAAGAAAUAGCAAAAAGACUAAAAAAAAAAAAAAAAAAAAAAGAAAGAAAGAAAGUGAAGGGAUGGAAAAUAUAUUUCAUGCAAAUGGAAAUGACAAGAAAGUAUCUCAAUAAUAAUGUCAGAUGAAAUACACUUUAAAACAAAGGCCAUUAAGAAAGAUAGAGAAGGAGACUAUUUCAUGAUUAAAGGUUCAAUUCAAGGUGAGGACAGUACACUCAUCAACAUAUAUGCUCCUGGAGUUCCCAUUGUGGCUCAGUGGAAAACAAUCUGACUAGUAUCCAUGAGGAUGCAGGUUCAACCCCUGGCCUUGCUCAGUGGGUUGAGGAUCUGACAUCGCCCUGAGCUGUGGGAUAGGUUGCAGACACAGCUUGUAUCUGGUGUUUCUGUGGCUGUGGCAAAGGCCAGUGGCCACAGCUCUGAUUUGACCCCUAGCCUGGGAAUCUCCACAUGCCGUGGGUUUGGCCCUAAAAAGACCAAAAAAAAAAAAAAAAAAAUCCUCCUAAUGUAGGAGCACCCAAUAACACACAACAAAUACUAAAAGACAUAAAAGGAGAAACUAUGGGAAUACAAUAAGAGUAGAAGACUUUGGAGUUCCCAUCGUGGCUCAGUGGUAAAGAACCCAACUAGUAUCCAUGAGGGUGUAGGUUCAAUUCCUGGCCUUGCUCAGUGGGUUAAGGAUCCUGCACUGCUGUGGCUUUGGCAUAGGCCAUCAGCUGCAGCUCUGGUUCAACCCCUAGCCUGGGAAUUUCCAUAUUCUGCAGGUGCAGCACUAAAAAAAAAAAAAAAAAAAAAAAAAAAAGAAAGAAAAAAAGAGUAGGAGACUUACACACCAUUCACAGCAAUGGACAGAUGUUCUAGACAAUAAAUCAAUAAAGCAUCAGAGAUUCUAAAUGACACAAUAGAACAGUUAGAAUUAAUUGAUAUUUCCAGGACGUUAUAUCCAAAAGAACCAGGGAGUUCCCAUUGUGGCUCAGUGGUUAAUGAACCUGGUUAGCAUCCAUAAGCUCACAGGUCCGAUCCCUGGCUUCACUCAGGGUAUUAAGGAUCUGGCAUUGCCGUGAGCUGUGGUGUAGGUCACAGAGGCAGCUCAGGUCCUGAGUUGUUAUGGCUCUGGCAUAGGCCAGCAGCUACAGCUCCAACUGGACCCCUAGCCUGGGAACCUACAUAUGCCACAGGUGCAGCCCUAAAAAGACAAAAACAAAAAUAAAUAAAUAAAUAAAUAGAUAGCAACAACAAAAAAAAGAAUAUACAUUCUUUUCAAGUGCACAAAGAACAUUCUCUAUGACUGACCACACACUGGGUCACAUAACUAAUCUCAAUAAAUUUAAGAGUUUAGACAUUAUUUCAAGCAUCUUCUUUGACCAAAAUGGUAUGAAACUAGAAAUCAACUAUAGGAAAAGAAAUGAGAAAAAAAAAAUACUGAUUAUAUGGAGACUAAACAACAUGCUACUAAAAAUCCAACAGCUUAGAGUUUCUGCUGUGGCCUGGCACAGUGGGUUAAGGAUCUGGCAUUGCUGCAGUUGCAGCAUAGGUCAUGGCUUAGAUCUGAGCCCUGGCCUGGGAACUCCAUAUGCCUAGGGGAGGCCAAAAGAGAAAGAAAGAAAGAAAACUAAUGGGUCAAAAAGGAUGUGAAAAAAAAUUUUUUAAAUAGUCCAAGGCAAACAACAAUGAAAAUGCAACCAUUUAAAAUCUAUGGGAUGCCACAAAAGCAAUUCUUAGAGGGAGAUUCAAAGGCCUUCCUAAAAAAAAAAAAAAAAAAGAAAAAGAAAUGAAAGAAAAACCUCAAAUGACCCAAUCUACCACCUAAAAGAAUUCAAAAAAGAAGAACAAACAAAAGCUAAAGUAGGCAGAUGAAAGGAAAACAUAAAGCUCAGAGAAGAAAUCAAUAAAAUAGAUUUUUAAAAAAUAGGGGAGUUCCCACUAUGGUUCAGAAGGUUAAGAAACUGACUAGUAUACAUAAUGAUGUAGGUUCAUUCCCUGGCCUUGCUCAAUACAUUAAGGAACCGGCAUUGCCACAAGCUGCAGUGUAGGUCUCAGAUGUGGCUAGGAUAAUUAUAUGCCAACAAAUUUGACAACCUAGAAGAAAUGGAAAACUUUUUAGAAACAAACAGCUCACCAAAAUUGGAGCUUCAGCUCCGAUUAGAUCCCUAGCCUGGGAACCUCCAUAUGCCACGGGUGCAGCCCUAGAAAAGACAAAAAAAAAAAAA